rnacentral:rRNA from 1 species
GUAAACGAUGUCGAUUUGGAGGUUGUGCCCUUGAGGCGUGGCUUCCGGAGCUAACGCGUUAAAUCGACCGCCUGGGGAGUACGGCCGCAAGGUUAAAACUCAAAUGAAUUGACGGGGGCCCGCACAAGCGGUGGAGCAUGUGGUUUAAUUCGAUGCAACGCGAAGAACCUUACCUGGUCUUGACAUCCACAGAACUUUCCAGAGAUGGAUUGGUGCCUUCGGGAACUGUGAGACAGGUGCUGCAUGGCUGUCGUCAGCUCGUGUUGUGAAAUGUUGGGUUAAGUCCCGCAACGAGCGCAACCCUUAUCCUUUGUUGCCAGCGGUUCGGCCGGGAACUCAAAGGAGACUGCCAGUGAUAAACUGGAGGAAGGUGGGGAUGACGUCAAGUCAUCAUGGCCCUUACGACCAGGGCUACACACGUGCUACAAUGGCAUAUACAAAGAGAAGCGACCUCGCGAGAGCAAGCGGACCUCAUAAAGUAUGUCGUAGUCCGGAUUGGAGUCUGCAACUCGACUCCAUGAAGUCGGAAUCGCUAGUAAUCGUAGAUCAGAAUGCUACGGUGAAUACGUUCCCGGGCCUUGUACACACCGCCCGUCACACCAUGGGAGUGGGUUGCAAAAGAAGUAGGUAGCUUAACCUUCGGGAGGGCGCUUACCACUUUGUGAUUCAUGACUGGGGUGAAGUCGUAAGGUA